GAAGAAACAGUGAUUCAGACGAAAGGUUGAAAAUGAACAGCAGCUCGGACGAAAAGCAGCAAGUCUCCAGCGGGUCGAAAGAGAAGGAAACAUCAUGGCUGAAAGCAAUUAUGGAAGACCAAAAGAUGCACGGAAUGAUCGUGGCAGUCGGCAUUGGACUGGCUGUCCUCGUAGCCUUCAUCACGUUCACUCUAUUCACGUCACCGCCACGUGAA